GAUGAAGAACGCAGCGAAAUGCGAUAAGUCGUGUGAAUUGCAGAAUUCAGUGAAUCAUCGAAUCUUUGAACGCACAUUGCGGCCAUAGGUAUUCCUUUGGCCAUGCCUGUUCGAUCGUCAUUUACACCCUCAAGCCUAGCUUGGUGUUGGGCGUCUGUCCCGCCGUUCUCGCGCGCGGACUCGCCUCAAAGUCAUUGGCGGCGGUCGUGCCGGCCCCCUCGCGCAGCACAUUUGCGCUUCUCGGAGGCCCGGCGGAUCCGCGCUCCAGCAAGACCUUUCACGACUUGACCUCGGAUCAGGUAGGGAUACCCGCUGAACUUAAGCAUAUCAAUAAGCGGAGGA
rnacentral:misc_RNA from 1 species